rnacentral:rRNA from 1 species
CCUACGGGAGGCAGCAGUGAGGAAUAUUGGUCAAUGGACGAGAGUCUGAACCAGCCAAGUCGCGUGAAGGAUGACUGCCCUAUGGGUUGUAAACCUCUUUUAUAAAGGAAUAAAACGAGGCACGUGUGCCGUUUUGCAUGUACUUUAUGAAUAAGGAUCGGCUAACUCCGUGCCAGCAGCCGCGGUAAUACGGAGGAUCCGAGCGUUAUCCGGAUUUAUUGGGUUUAAAGGGUGCGUAGAUGGGUUGUUAAGUCAGUUGUGAAAGUUUGCGGCUCAACCAUAAAAUUGCAAUUGAUACUGGCAGUCUUGAGUACAGUUGAGGUAGGCGGAAUGCGUGGUGUAGCGGUGAAAUGCUUAGAUAUCACGAAGAACCCCGAUUGCGAAGGCAGCUUACUAAACUGUGACUGACAUUGAUGCUCGAAAGUGUGGGUAUCAAACAGGAUUAGAUACCCCUGUAGUC